rnacentral:rRNA from 1 species
UACAGAGGUCUCAAGCGUUGUUCGGAUUCAUUGGGCGUAAAGGGUGCGUAGGCGGCGGGGCAAGUCAGGUGUGAAAUCCCGGAACUCAACUCCGGAACUGCACUUGAUACUGCCUUGCUAGAGUACUGGAGAGGAGACUGGAAUUUACGGUGUAGCAGUGAAAUGCGUAGAUAUCGUAAGGAAGACCAGUGGCGAAGGCGAGUCUCUGGACAGUUACUGACGCUGAGGCACGAAGGCCAGGGGAGCAAACGGG